AGAGUCCUAUGAUGUUCGUCAUCACUUCAUGUUUUGAGCCAACACUUUUACUUAGGGAGAUCUUAGUUCUUUGGUAAUUGCUAUGCCCUUUCACUAGGGAAAGCAGGAUCCUUAGGCAGGUCACCCACCUGCAAUGGCAGGUUCAAAGCGAAAAGUACGAAACGGCAUUCGCGGGACUCUU
rnacentral:other from 1 species